rnacentral:rRNA from 1 species
GAUCGAGUUUGAUCCUGGCUCAGAUUGAACGCUGGCGGAAUGCUUUACACAUGCAAGUCGAACGGCAGCACGGGUGCUUGCACCUGGUGGCGAGUGGCGAACGGGUGAGUAAUAUAUCGGAACGUACCUUAUUGUGGGGAUAACGCAGCGAAAGCUGUGCUAAUACCGCAUAAUCCCUAAGGGGGAAAGCGGGGACCGUAAGGCCUCGCGCAAUUAGAGCGGCCGAUACCUGAUUAGCUAGUUGGUGAGGUAAAGGCUCACCGAAGGCAACGAUCAGUAGCUGGUCUGAGAGGACGAUCAGCCACACGUGGGGACUGAGA